UAUCCGCUCGCUUGCUCUUGCUCGCUGUCCCUCUCCUCUCCCUCGCCGGCCACCUUAUCCCCUUUCCUCGUCACCUCUCCCUCGCCAGCCUCUCCUCUCCGUGGCCGGCCACUCCCUUUCCUCGUCGCCGCAUUCCCCCUCUCCUAGUCACCGGCAUCUUCCUCUUUCCGUCGCCGGCCUCUUCCACUGCCCCUUUCUCCCCACCACCCAGCCUUCACUCACACCCCGUAGGCAAAAUUGAUUCUUUUUGCAUCGGCGACGAGCUUCUCUAUGACGGAGGCAUGGAUGUGUAGCAGCGUCAGAGCUGGAUAUGGGCUAGGGGCGUGGAUGUGGAGCGGCACCCGAGGGGACCUAGAGCGACGGAUCUCACGAGUUGGAGCAGCGCCCGAGCGGACCUAGAUUGGCGGCGGAGCAGCAGAGCGGCGGAUCUGACGAGUCGGAGCAGCGCCUGAGCGGACCUAGAGUGGCGCCGGAGCCUCCACGUCGUCGUCGUGCACACGUCGUUGUACAGACCAUUGACUAGAGUCCAGACUUGAAAACCAUUCAGAAAUUGCAAAUCAUUCAGUGAGCGGGGGCAUAAUUCAAACACACAUCCACCAGUGAAGGUUCUCCUCUUUUCACUUCACCAAUUUGAAUAAAUUUAGUUACCAGCUCCAUCCAGUCCAUCCACCAGUGGAAAAAAGGUUGAUCCACCAUCCUCCAGACUUGUUGGAGGAAAAGUUCCUCUUCCUGAUUUUCUUCUUUAAAAUCUGCUGCUUCAUCGAUUGGCAAAGAAGCAUGGAAAAGAAACUGUUAACGUUAAUUAUCUCUCCUGGAGUAGUUCUUGUGCUACUGAAAGCAGUAGUAACUAUUGUUAUUUUUUUGCACAUGAAGCCUCAGUAAUGCAGUAGCUUAAUUUUGGAGUAAAAUGGAGUAUAGUAUUGUUUUGUUUGCAGUAGUUUUUCAGUAUACCAAAUUUGGUGGUAUUCAGUGCAAUUCUAAUGGGUCUUCUCUUCUUGCUGCUGAAUUCUAAAUUCUGAAUUGUGAAUUCCGUUGACCAGCUCCGCGGGUCGCUGGGCUUCUGGUGAAGAUCUUCGUGUGGGUCCUGGAGAUGCCGGUGGUGGGCUGGAGACUGCCUCCCCGCACGCCAAAUCAGAUUCAAUAAUUUGGUCGAAAAGGGACGGCAUGCUGAGGUGUACAAAGGACAACUUGCUGAUGGACAAUUUGUGGCAGUGAAGGGGUUAACAAAAAUACUUAACCAAGCAUGCUGAGGGGCAAAGAAUUUGCAGCUUCAAACACAUCAAUACUGUUGUCAUAUUUUGCUGAAGGUAUGCUAUCAUAACCAAACAUCAUGUUCUGCAGCUAGCUGUUGGUGAAGUGUGAUUUUCUCACAAUAUAAGACAUCCGGACUCUAUCCUUGGUGGUCGAGGAGCGUUAGCCAACUUUGUCUUGCUGAUCUACGGCUAAAUAAUUAUGUUGAAUCUUGCUGUUGUGGUCAUGCAACUAUUUCCAGGUAUGAUCUAAUGACUCGUCGGAAAGAAACCUGUCACAAAGAGCCUUUUGGCUUAACCCUCAUUACAUGUGGUAAUUUGGGUAAUACUUUGAAAUUGUGGAUGUGUCCUGGUUGCAAUUUCCUGAACCCAUACAGGUGCAGAGUACAAUGCUUUCUGGUAGAAAACCAUUAAUAAAAGAAUAGACAAAUUGUUAUUCUAUUCUGUUCUACACAAAUAGGGGUAAUAGAAUGAAUUGGCUUAUUCACAUUUCACAUUCAUUUUAGCUAAUCAUUCUGCCAUUUAGUGCUCCAUAUCAGUGUGCAAGCUUAGUAGUGGUUUAUUUUCAGUGAUGGUCUUGUAGAAGAUGAACCACAUAAAGGAAAUCUAUCUAUCAUAAAAAAGAGGAUGUGCAUGUGUCUUGUAGGGUUGACGGAUUCAUUGAUCACCACACAAAGUAGGUAGUUUGGGGAAAAGAAUGAAGUUGGACUACUAAAAUCGAAGAAAAUACUCUAUGAAUUUUGUCAUGUUGUCUCUAGAACAACUUGUAAAUGGUCUGCACAAGUUUCUUAGUUCUUGUACUGCACCCCAUUUUUUCAGAAAUUGAAUCUACUCCGGUGUCCAGUGUUAGCUAAGAGCUAACAUGAGUACAAGAAUUUUCUGUAGAGAUUGUUGCAAGGAGACAUCUCUGUCUAGUGUUAGGUAAAUUUUAUUGGUCUCAACAUUGGUCUAUCUAUGCAUUGGUCUCACAUUUUAUUUUAAGGACAUUUGAGUACUCUUCAAAUAUUUUCAGACCAUCACUGAAAAUACGCAUACACUGAAUUUUCUGUUACAUACACUUUUCACUUCUUCUUUAACUGUAUUUUCUGUUACAUACACUCUGCACUUCUGCUUUAACUGAAUUAAUUUUUCGGGUUUUGUACAUCAACCUACUGAAAACAUUUUUUCUCUGUGUUCAUCCAGCAGAAAUCCAUGCAAUUCUGAUCAAAAUCAUUGUGCAUAUGCGGGAGCAGAAACGAGCAGUGAGAAGCAGCGGCGGCUGACCUCGAGCUCUCGGUUGGAGUGGAGGGAGGCGGCCGACGAGGAAGGAUUCGAAGCUGCGGCGGAGCAAGCAGCCGGUGGGGAAAGGCGGCCGCCGGUGAGGGAGCUCCGGACCGCGGCGAGGGAGCUUUCGAUCGCGGCGGGGAAGGGCGACCAGAGGGGAUCGGGCUCUCAAUUGGAGCGGCGCAGGCAACCGGCGGGGAAGGGCGCCGGAUAUGUGGACGAGGAGGAGCUCGGCGAAGGGGAGGAGCGCCGGAGGAAGACGACGGAGUCCUGGCGGAGGGAAGGAGCGACGGAGGAAGACGACGGCCCGUGCGAUUUCAAAUCGGUGGGUGGGGGAGGGGCAGUUUGGUAAUUUCACUCGUUUUCACCUGGUCGGAAAACCCCCUCCAAUGACAAUUAUUUCGAAACGGAGGGAGUAUAUGUUGUUAUGAAUUACCAAAACCACCUAGGGAUAGUUGCACUUUCAA